CCCUUAGAUGUUCUGGGCCGCACGCGCGCUACACUGAUGCAUUCAACGAGCCUAUCCUUGACCGACAGGUCCGGGUAAUCUUUGAAUCUGCAUCGUGACGGGGAUAGAUUAUUGCAAUUAUUAAUCUUCAACGAGGAAUGCCUAGUAGGCGCAAGUCAUCAGCUUGCGUCGAUUACGUCCCUGCCCUUUGUACACACCGCCCGUCGCUCCUACCGAUUGAAUGGUCCGGUGAAAUCUUCGGAUUGAGACUUUGAUUUCUUCACGGAAAACGCUGUUUUAAAAAGUUGAUUAAACCUUACCAUUUAGAGGAAGGUGAAGUCGUAACA
rnacentral:rRNA from 1 species